rnacentral:lncRNA from 1 species
AAGCCCUGAAGGGCCAAAGUAGAAAAAUACCGAUCUUUGGAUCGAAUGAAUCUCAAAAAGACCAACAUGCCGACUCAACUUCGAUCGGAUGGAACAACAUACUCGACUAUGGUCAGAUGGAACAACAUGCCGACUCGACUACAAUCAGAUGAAAUAAUAUGUCGACUCGAUUCCAAUCGGACGGAACAAUAUACCGACUCAGCUACGGUUGGACAGAACAACAUGCCAAAUCGGC